UACGGAGGGUGCAAGCGUUAUUCGGAAUUACUGGGCGUAAAGGGCGCGUAGGCGGUCUUAUAAGUUUGGUGUGAAAUCCCGGGGCUCAACUCCGGAAGUGCAUUGAAUACUGUAAGGCUAGAGUAUAGGAGAGGAGGGUGGAAUUCCUGGUGUAGAGGUGAAAUUCGUAGAUAUCAGGAGGAACAUCAGUGGCGAAGGCGGCCCUCUGGACUAUAACUGACGCUGAGGCGCGAAAGCGUGGGGAGCAAACAGG
rnacentral:rRNA from 1 species